rnacentral:rRNA from 1 species
GACAGAGGUGCCGAGCGUUAGGCGGAAUCACUGGGCUUAAAGCGUGUGUAGGCGGGCCGUUAAGUGUCUUGUGAAAUCCCCCGGCUCAACCGGGGAAUUGCUGGGCAUACUGGCGGUCUUGAGCAAUCUAGGGGCAGAUGGAACAAGUGGUGGAGCGGUGAAAUGCGUAGAUAUCAGGAGGAACACCGGCGGCGAAGGCGGCCCUCUGGACCGUUGCUGACGCUGAGACGCGAAAGCGUGGGGAGCAAACAGG